UUUAAACACAACCGUGAGUUCUCGUAUUCAAUUUUAAUUGUUCAUAUUAUUUAAAACUUUUAUAUGAUUAGUAUUUUUUUAUAAUAUGAUAAAAUAUGAAUAAUGCUUUAUACGUGACUUAUGCUUUCUAAUUUUUUUAUUAAAAAUUUUUAAAUAAGACAGACGAUUAAAGUUGAACGCGAAAAUUUAUGGCUGCGCUUAAA
rfam:Oryza glumipatula chromosome 8, whole genome shotgun sequence.